AUGCUCACUUCAGCAGCAGAUAUACUAAAAUUGGAACAAUACAGAGAUUAGCAUGGCACCUGCACAAG
ensembl:snRNA U6 U6 spliceosomal RNA